rnacentral:miRNA from 10 species
UCUUCCUCUUCCUCCUCCUCCUCCACCUCCUUCUCUUGUUCUGGAGAGCGGAGUUCACUCUAAUUCGAUCCUCCUGGUUUUGUAGGAGGCAGCGUUCCGGCGUUCAU